AUCCUCUCAGGGUCACACCUGGAGAGUUUCCAGUACUCUACCACUCAUGACUGCAGAAGGGAGAGUCAAGCAGAGGCAUACCCAUUCUAUUCCUAGCUUGGGCAGUCGCUAGCGAGUGGAGGGUAAUCUGCUACAAGU